GAAGAGCUGUGGCUCCUGGGAAGGGUGUCUGCCUUGCAUGCAGAAGGUGCCAGGUUCAGUUCCUGGCAUCUGUCUCA